rnacentral:rRNA from 1 species
ACCGGAGUGGACGCAUCACUGGUGUUCGGGUUGUCAUGCCAAUGGCACUGCCCGGUAGCUAAAUGCGGAAGAGAUAAGUGCUGAAAGCAUCUAAGCACGAAACUUGCCCCGAGAUGAGUUCUCCCUGACUCCCUGAGAGUCCUGAAGGAACGUUGAAGACGACGACGUUGAUAGGCCGGGUGUGUAAGCGCAGCGAUGCGUUGAGCUAACCGGUACUAAUGAACCGUGAGG